rnacentral:rRNA from 1 species
AUGGGUAGUCGCACGUGCUCCUCCGCCGUCGUGCUCACCAUCUCCGUCGUCGCGGUGCUUCUCAACGCGGACGUGGCGCUGUGCGGCUGCAGAUACAAGCGCUUCUUCGCGUUCGGUGACUCCCUCAUCGACACCGGCAACUUCGUGUACACCAUCGGCAACGGCCCGUCGCCACUCAAGGAGCUCCCCUUCGGCAUGACCUUCUUCAAGCACCCUAGCGGCCGCAUCUCCGACGGCCGUGUCGUCGUCGACUUCUAUGCGGAGGCGUUGGGCCUGCCGCUGCUGCCGCCGAGCAUCCCGGAGGAGGCGACCGGGCAGUUCCCCACCGGCGCCAACUUCGCCGUGUUUGGCUCCACCGCGCUGCCGCCGGAGUACUUCAAGACCAAGUACAACUUCACAGUGAACCCGCCUUCCACCCUCGACCGGCAGCUCGCCUCCUUCAAGAAGGUCCUCGCGCGCAUCGCUCCCGGGGCUGUCGCCACGAGGGCUCUCCUGAACGAUUCCCUGGUGCUGGUGGGCGAGAUCGGCGGGAACGACUACAACUUCUGGUUCGGCAACCCCAGUAAACCCCGUGCGACGCCGGAGGAGUACCUGCCCGACGUGGUCGCCCGCAUCGGCGCUGCCGUACAGGAGGUGAUCGACCUCGGCGCCAGGACGAUCGUCGUCCCGGACAACUUCCCCAUCGGGUGCGUGCCGGCGUACCUGAGCGCCCACCAGAGCAACGUCACGGCCGACUACGACGAGCUGCACUGCCUCAAGUGGUACAACGAGUUCUCCCAGAAGCACAACCAGGCGCUGCGGCAGGAGCUCGUCAGGAUCCGGUCGAAGAACCCCGGCGUCAAGGUGGUCUACGCCGACUACUACGGCGCCGCCAUGCAGUUCGUCCAGAAGCCGCAGGCGUAUGGCAUCGCCGACCCGCUCGUGGCGUGCUGCGGCGGCAACGGGCCGUACCACACCGGCGGGGCGUGCAACAGCAGCACGAAGCUCUGGGGCAGCCCCGACGGGUUCGCCAGCUGGGACGGCCUGCACAUGACGGAGAAGGCGUACAAGAUUGUCUCCGACGGCGUGCUGGAUGGGCCGUUCGCCGACACCCCGCUGCGCCAUCUUUGCUAG